GAAAGCCGUGUGCGGGAAAACCGCACGCACGGUUUGAUGAAGGGGAAGGAGGAAAUAAAAAUUUCCUCCGACCUACUCUAC
rnacentral:ncRNA from 1 species